rnacentral:rRNA from 1 species
GUGCCCUUCUCUAAGGAAUAGCCACUGGAAACGGUGAGUAAUACCUUAUACGCCCUUCGGGGGAAAGAUUUAUCGGAGAAGGAUCGGCCCGCGUUAGAUUAGAUAGUUGGUGGGGUAAUGGCCUACCAAGUCUACGAUCUAUAGCUGGUUUUAGAGGAUGAUCAGCAACACUGGGACUGAGACACGGCCCAGACUCCUACGGGAGGCAGCAGUGGGGAAUCUUGGACAAUGGGCGCAAGCCUGAUCCAGCCAUGCCGCGUGAGUGAUGAAGGCCUUAGGGUCGUAAAGCUCUUUCGCCAGAGAUGAUAAUGACAGUAUCUGGUAAAGAAACCCCGGCUAACUCCGUGCCAGCAGCCGCGGUAAUACGGAGGGGGUUAGCGUUGUUCGGAAUUACUGGGCGUAAAGCGCACGUAGGCGGAUCAGAAAGUAUAGGGUGAAAUCCCAGGGCUCAACCCUGGAACUGCCUUGUAAACUCCUGGUCUUGAGUUCGAGAGAGGUGAGUGGAAUUCCGAGUGUAGAGGUGAAAUUCGUAGAUAUUCGGAGGAACACCAGUGGCGAAGGCGGCUCACUGGCUCGAUACUGACGCUGAGGUGCGAAAGUGUGNGGAGCAAACAGGAUUAGAUACCCUGGUAGUCCACACCGUAAACGAUGAAUGCCAGACGUCAGCAAGCAUGCUUGUUGGUGUCACACCUAACGGAUUAAGCAUUCCGCCUGGGGAGUACGGUCGCAAGAUUAAAACUCAAAGGAAUUGA